CGAAUCGCAAGGGCUUUGCCAGCGAUAAAUCAUUCAAGUUUCUGCCCUAUCAGCUUUCGAUGGUAGUGUAUUGGACUACCAUGGCAUUAACGGGUAACGGAGAAUUAGGGUUCGAUUCCGGAGAGGGAGCCUGAGAAACGGCUACCACAUCUAAGGAAGGCAGCAGGCGCGUAAAUUACCCAAUCCUGACUCAGGGAGGUAGUGACAAGAAAUAACAACGUAGGGCUUUACUGUCUUGCGAUUGUAAUGGGUACAAUUUAAAACCCUUAACGAGUAACAAUUGGAGGGCAAGUCUGGUGCCAGCAGCCGCGGUAAUUCCAGCUCCAAUAGCGUAUAUUAAAGUUGUUGCAGUUAAAAAGCUCGUAGUUGGAUUUCUGAAGAGGCAAUUGAUCUGUCUUUUAGAUAGAUCUCUACGCCUUCUUCAUCCUUCUGUUAACGAUUCGUGGCAUUCACGUGCUGGUUUCGGGCGCAGAUAUUUUACUUUGAGAAAAUUAGAGUGUUUCAGGCAGGCUUGUAGCCUAAAUAUAUUAGCAUGGAAUAAUAGAAUAGGACUUUAGCUCUAUUUAUUGGUUUAGAGUAUGAAGUAAUGACUAAUAGGGACAGUUGGGGGCAUUAGUAUUUAAUUGUCAGAGGUGAAACUCUUGGAUUUAUUAAAGACUAACUUAUGCGAAAGCAUUUGCCAAGGAUGUUUUCAUUAAUCAAGAACGAAAGUUAGGGGAUCAAAGACGAUCAGAUACCGUCCUAGUCCUAACUAUAAACUAUGCCGACUAGGGAUUGGAGGAGCAACAAAUACUCCUUCAGCACCUUACGAGAAAUCAAGGUCUUUGGGUUCUGGGGGGAGUAUGGUCGCAAGGCUGAAACUUAAAGAGAUUGACGGAAGGGCACACCAGGAGUGGAUUUUGCGGCUUAAUUUGACCCAACACGGGAAAACUUACCAGGUCCAAACAUUGGAAGGAUUGACAGAUUGAUAGCUCUUUCUUGAUUCGAUGAUUGGUGGUGCAUGGCCGUUCUUAGUUGGUGGAGUGAUUUGUCUGGUUAAUUCCGUUAACGAACGAGACCUUAACCUGCUAAAUAGUACUCGAGGCUUUGGCCUCCAGCUACUUCUUAGAGGGACUUUGUGUGCAAGCACAAGGAAGUUUCAGGCAAUAACAGGUCUGUGAUGCCCUUAGAUGUCCUGGGCCGCACGCGUAAUACACUGAUGCAGUGAACAAGUUCCUGCUCCGAAAGGCAGUAGGCAAUCUCUAAUCUGCAUCGUGAUGGGGAUAGAUCUUUGUAAUUAUAGAUCUUGAACGAGGAAUUCCUAGUAAGCGUAAGUCAUUAGCUUACGCUGAUUAAGUCCCUGCCCUUUGUACACACCGCCCGUCGCUCCUACCGAUUUUGAGUGAUCAGGUGAACAUUUUGGACUGGCUUGGGCAACUAAGCUAGAAAAUCAAGUAAACCUUAUCACUUAGAGGAAGGAGAAGUCGUAACAAGGUU
rnacentral:rRNA from 1 species